rnacentral:rRNA from 1 species
CCUACGGGGGGCUGCAGUGGGGAAUAUUGGACAAUGGGCGAAAGCCUGAUCCAGCCAUGCCGCGUGUGUAAAGAAGGCCUUCGGGUUGUAAAGCACUUUCAGUGGGGAAGAAAGCCUUGGGGCUAAUACCCUCGAGGAAGGACAUCACCCACAGAAGAAGCACCGGCUAACUCCGUGCCAGCAGCCGCGGUAAUACGGAGGGUGCGAGCGUUAAUCGGAAUUACUGGGCGUAAAGCGCGCGUAGGCGGUCUGAUAAGCCGGUUGUGAAAGCCCCGGGCUCAACCUGGGAACGGCAUCCGGAACUGUCAGGCUAGAGUGCAGGAGAGGAAGGUAGAAUUCCCGGUGUAGCGGUGAAAUGCGUAGAGAUCGGGAGGAAUACCAGUGGCGAAGGCGGCCUUCUGGACUGACACUGACGCUGAGGUGCGAAAGCGUGGGUAGCAAACAGGAUUAGAUACCCCUGUAGUC